rnacentral:lncRNA from 1 species
CGAUGGUAGCAAUAACGAUGGUAGCAAUAACGAUGGUGGUAAAAAAAAAAAAAAAAAAAAUGUGAACGAAAGUGCAGUAACAACUAAUACAAAAGUGGCUAGUGCUUGGGGAGUUAAAAAAUUGCUAACCUCUUACGCCUCCGUAGUAUACAAUGCAACAAAAAAAAAAAAUACGGUGAAUGAGAUAAAAACUGUCGAAGCGGAACAAAGUACCAAUGUAAGUGCACAACAUAUGCCACUGAACAAUGAUCAAGCGUUAGUGGAGGAGAAGAAGGACAAAAGUGACGAAAACGAUAAGACUGAAAAAGAUGACAAAAGUAGUAAAGGUAAAAAAAAUAAUAAAUCACAAAUUACAACUCCUAAAAACAAAGAAACGCCUAAACUAUGGGUAUCUGUCAUAACUAAAGGAACAACCCAGGGAAAUAACACGAAAGAUAGUAGCAACGAAAAUAGUGAUGGGGGUCAAUACAAUACGGAAAAAGCAGAUAAGCCUAGUACUGUGGAUAUGAAAAAACAUAACGAUAAUGACAACGUGAUCGUGAAUAAAAAGAAUGAACAAAAUAAUAUUAGCACUACGAAUAAAGGAACAGGGUAUAAAAAAAAAGAAGGUUUUCAAGAAUCGCAUUCACCUAAUCAAAAAAUGUUCAACGAAAUUAGUGGUGAUCAUAAAUCUAUGAAAACUGUUAGUAGUAUUGGUCAUAAACAGGAAGAAAAUAAAAACGCAACAAAGGGUAUGGAAGUAACCGAUAUGCAUAAUAACACAGAUACACUAUUAAAUACGAAUAAUAUGAUGCAUAAAGGAAUGGUGGUAUCAGUUGAUCAGAUGUAUAAUAAUGAUGUUGCUAAUGCUAGUAGCAAUACUAUUAAUAAAAAACAUCUUUCAGAUGCAAUACUCUCCAAAGUAAGAAACGAUAAGUAUGCUACAAACGAAAAUAAUAACAAUUUUAAUAAUAUUAGAAACAAGAAGGAAAGUGGUUCUAUGAAUAAGUGGCAUGAGGAAGAAGAUUUAACAACAGAAUUGAAGGAGCACAGAGCAACACACAGACAAAAAGAUACAACUUUAGAAAUGUCGGAAGAACAACAGUUAAUAAAAAAAAAACAGAUGAAAAAAAAAAGUGAUGAUAAAAAAGAUUAUUUUAAAGCAUCAAGUCAAGUAAUAGCAUCAACUACAAUAUUAAACCAAAUGAAAAAAAAUAAAAAUAUGAACAUCGAUAAUGAAUAUAGUAGUGACAGUGCAAGUAGCUAUAGUCGCAGCAACAGUAGUUAUAGCAACAGUGAAGAUAAUCACCAUAUGCGUUAUAAUAAUAAAAAGAAUGUUAAAAAUAUAAGUUCUGUUAGAAAUAAGCAUAUAAAGUCAAGUGACUCAUCAUCAUCAUCAUCAUCAUCCGAAUCGGUAGUAUCAGCAUCAGAAUCAGGAUCAUUAUCGUCAGAUAGUCAAGAUGAAAAUAGAAAAAACAAAAAAGAUAAGAAUGUUCCUAUAUAUAUGCCUAAUUUAUCGUUAAUGUGUAAUAAUAUAAAUAAAAAAAUAUUUUUUGGUGAUAUAAAUUUUUCGAAAGAUCGUAUUGAUAAUAUAGAAGCGAAUAAAAUAAAAAGUAACACUCAUUCUUUUAGUAAUGUCAAUAACAAUAAUAAUAGAGGUAUGAAUAUGAGCCAUAAGAAAGGUAAUGUUAGUAGUAGUACUAUUGGUAGUGGUAGAAGUGGUAGCAGUUACAGUAAUAUAAAUAAUAAUGAGAAUAGCAACUCUCGAGGUUAUAUAAAUAAACGAAACAGUAACAGUAAAAAUAUUAGUAACGUUGGUAGUAAUAAUGUAAAUUAUAAAAAGAACUACACUCUCGAUUUAUCCGAUGUUGGUAUAGAUAGUAACAAUUCUAACACUAGAAAUAAUGUUAAUUUUGGUACUGAUGUUCUUUAUAAUAUGGGCAGUAAUAAUAACAAUAGAGGUAAUCAUGUUAAUGGUAUGAUAAAUAAAAGCAAUUAUGGUAGUUAUAAUACACAUGGUUCAACAAGCACUACAAAUACAACAACAAGCACAACUAAUAACAGAACAGGAAUUAAUAGUAAUAACGGAGGAUAUGGCAAUAACAAUUAUGGAGGACUUAACAAUGUGAAUAAUAACAUGAAUAACAGUAUGAGUAGAAAUGUUAACAGAAAUUUUAAUUCCAUUGCUAAUAAUAACACUAAUAGUAACAGUAUGAGUAAUAACUUUAACCGAUAUAUGUUGCAUGGAAGAGAAGGAUUAAAUAAUAGAAAUUACGAAAAUACGAAUGAUUUUAUGUACAAUGAUAUUAGAAAUCAGAAAUCUAGAGAUGUAAGAGGUUUUGAUUUUAAAAAUAAGAGUCAAAAACGAGAAGAUUAUAAUGCUCACGAUAAUUUAUUUAAUGAUAGUAGAAACAAAUCUAUUUUUUCAUCAUCUUCUAACAUGAAUAAUAAACAUAUGAAUACAAACAAAACACAUAAUAUGUAUAACAAUAGUAGUAAUAUGCAUAAAAUGGGAAGUACAACAAACUCGACAUCAGUGUCAGCUUCUGUAUUACGCAAUGGUGGUGGUAGUGCAACAUCAAGUUACCAUAAUCAACAACAACAUCAAAGACAACACCAUCAGCAACAGACACAAACACGUAGCUAUCUAAACAAUACAAACAAUAAUAAUAACAACAAUAACAACAAUAAUAACAACGGUAAUAGCAAUAAUGGUAACAAUCGCAAUAACCGCUAUAACCGCAACAACCGUAACCGAAACAAUAGAAGUAACAGUAGUAGUGCCAGUAGUAGUGUCAGUACUAUCAGUAAUCAACAUGACAAUAGUAAAGAUGGAACCACCAAUAUUAACAGUAGGAACUAUGCAAAUAUGAAUAAUAUAAAUAAUACUAGUACAAAUACUACGAGUAAUAAUAAUAAUGGUGCACUUACUACGAAUAUACCAAUAAAAAACACAAACACAGAUGUUAAUAGCAAUAUGAAUCUAUUAAAUAUGAGUAUGAAUAAUAUGAAUAAUAAUAACUUAUAUAAUUCUUAUACAUCUCCUCCUGGAUUAGCAAAUCAGUUUAAUUAUUCCUACACUGGUUUAUCAUACCCAUAU